GAUGAACGCUAGCUACAGGCUUAACACAUGCAAGUCGAGGGGAAACGACAUCGAAAGCUUGCUUUUGAUGGGCGUCGACCGGCGCACGGGUGAGUAACGCGUAUCCAACCUGCCCACCACUUGGGGAUAACCUUGCGAAAGUAAGACUAAUACCCAAUGAUAUCCCACGAAGACAUCUGAAUGGGAUUAAAGAUUUAUCGGUGAUGGAUGGUGAUGCGUCUGAUUAGCUUGUUGGCGGGGUAACGGCCCACCAAGGCAACGAUCAGUAGGGGUUCUGAGAGGCAGGUCCACCACAUUGGAACUGAGACACGGUCCAAUCUCCGACGGGAGGCAGCAGUGAGGAAUAUUAGGCGAUGAGCGCGAGUCUGGACCAGCCGAGUGGCGUACAAGAAGACGGGCCUAUGGGUUGUAAACUGCUUUUAUAAGAGAAUAAAGUGGGUAACGUGUGACUUUUUGAAGGUACCUUAUGAAUAAGGACCGGCUAAUUCCGUG
rnacentral:rRNA from 1 species